rnacentral:rRNA from 1 species
UACGUAGGGCGCAAGCGUUAUCCGGAAUUAUUGGGCGUAAAGAGCUCGUAGGCGGUUUGUCGCGUCUGCCGUGAAAGUCCGGGGCUCAACUCCGGAUCUGCGGUGGGUACGGGCAGACUAGAGUGAUGUAGGGGAGACUGGAAUUCCUGGUGUAGCGGUGAAAUGCGCAGAUAUCAGGAGGAACACCGGUGGCGAAGGCGGGUCUCUGGGCCGAUACUGACGCUGAGGAGCGAAAGCGUGGGGAGCGAACAGG